rnacentral:rRNA from 1 species
UACAGAGGUCUCAAGCGUUGUUCGGAUUCAUUGGGCGUAAAGGGUGUGUAGGUGGCGCCGUAAGUCGGGUGUGAAAUCUCGGAGCUUAACUCCGAAACUGCAUUCGAUACUGCCGUGCUUGAGGACUGGAGAGGAGACUGGAAUUUACGGUGUAGCGGUGAAUGCGUAGAUAUCGUAAGGAAGACCAGUGGCGAAGGCGGUCUCGUGGACAGCUUCCUGACGCUGAGGCACGAAGGCCAGGAGCAACGG